AUUUGAGUUAAGAAUCACAUAAAAAUUAACCAUACAUCAUUUUCUUGAGCAAAGGCAGAAGACUAAGUCAGAGUUAAGUUACCUUAAUAUUGAGAAAGGAGAAUUAAAGCAACACUGCAGGAGUCGAUUGCUCCCUGCCCACCUACAUCCCCUUUAAAGGGAAACUGUGCUGGCCACAGCUCCCGUGGCAACCAUGUUCUGUAUGAAGAGAUUCCACUUCCAACCACUGACUGGAUCAGGAAUGAGCAGCUUACCCAAAUGCAGACCAUCCAUUGGCCUUCCAGGUGAUCUCUCACCAGCCCAGUAAUAGGAACAAGCUAGGUGAAACAAACCUCAAGAAUCUGAUUGGAAACCCUGGAGAAAUGCAACUAGUGAGCAGCGGGAAUUGAAACCUAAGGGUCCUGAGGAACUGCGGAACAUGAAAUCCACUGUCAGCCACUAUAUCAUUCAGAGACCCAGCAGGAAACAGAAGACACAGAUGGUUCAAAGGAAGAGACUUUAAUCAACGACUAUUUGAAGAACUACAGGCAGGGUUAAGAGAACAAACAAAGGAUGGUGGAUGGGAAACCUGACCAGGAAAGGAGGAAAGAAUAAACGGAAAGUGAACACGUACCUGACAGCCUGGUUCAGGAUCUGGCAGGAUGUGGUCCCUCCAGAGAUCUGGCUAAGUCAAGAUUCAACAACCAGCAAUUGGGUAACAACUGGAAGAAAUAAUAGAUCAUUCAUCGUUUUUUACAACAUCUGUAUUCAAUGUUCCUUUUCACACAUUUUCACCGUACUUAACGAAAACGUUAUUUAAGACUUAUCUUAGAGGUCAUAGAAAAGGCCAAGUAUUAAAAAUCAACUAAAGUUUCCAAGAGAGAAAAACAAAUUUAUCAACAGUAAGUCGUUCAGCUCUCAACACAGAUACAACUUGGCCCCAGGUCUGACCCAGUCCUCCUCUACCACAGCAUUUUCAAAUCUGCCGCCUCUGCCUUCAGCGACUGCUCACUGGCGGCGCCCUGUCGUGAUGCUACCACAAUCCAGCGUCACAUCUCGCUUUCCAGGAAGUGUGCGGCGACAUAUCACUAUAAUCAGCGUCCUAACGCCACAAGUCGUAAGGUCGCUCAGGAGCCAUCUUAAUUUACAUUGUGGAAUUCUUGUACAAAAGUGCUUCGAAGCGUCUCCGACAGAGAACGUUCCAGCAGAAAACGCUGCUUUUCGAGCGCCACAAGCUUCUACCGCGGCCGUCGCCAGCGCAGAGGACCGGCCCCCACCCGCUCGGGAAUGAAGCAGCGCUUGCG
rnacentral:lncRNA from 1 species